rnacentral:lncRNA from 1 species
GAGAGAGUUAGGCUCCUAUGCUUUCGAAAGUACGGAAGACUCUGUGCUUGUAAGUUGUUUUCGAUUAUGGGAUAUCCGAUUCAGCGAUCGGUUCCGUUAGACAUGAUCUAUGCUAUUAAAACUAUCUAGAAACCAAAUUUCAUAAUUUUUUGACUUCGUUUGCCUAGUGAACGAGUAGUCUCAAAAUGAACGGCUGAAAAUAAAAAUCUUAUAAAAAACAGUAAUAAAAGACUCAAAUUUCAAAUCGGAAAUAUUAUUCUUUCUCUUGAUGUUAAGUAGAAUUUUCUAUUAAAAUUUCAUAUAAUUUGGAUACUUCUACACCGUUGAACUUAAAAACGUGCCACAUCGGCCGUUAAAAUAGUCAUUUUUGAGACCCUUUGAUCGCUUGGUAAAUGAUGUCGAAAAAUUAUAAAUUUGGUUUCUAGAUAGUUCCAAUAGUAUAGAUUAUGCCUAACAGAGCCGAUCGUCGAAUCGGAUGUCCUAUUAUCGAAAACAACUUACAAGCACGGAAGCCUCCGUACUUUCGAAAGCACCGGAGACCUACUCUCUCUCUCUCUCU